UUCAAGUCACUUUAGUAAAAACUGGAUAGUUUUUCAAUGAACCUUUUUUUAACUAUCUUACUUUUUAAAGUAUAUAUUUGUAUAUAAUAUAACUUCUUGCUACCAUUCUUGUAAAGUAAUUAAUUAGUUAACACAUCUUCCUUAGAAUUUAUACAGGAUGGCAAAAAAAAGGUCAAACCUCUAUUUGUGACUUCCUGAUAUAUUUUUUGAAAAACGCUUAGACAUUUUGGAUUAGUAAGUGGGGCAUCUUUUUAUAUAUAGCUCCAUUUUUAAAAUUUUUAGGCUCUCCAUUUAACUUUUAGUAACUUUUGUUUAAUAACUAUAUAUUUAAUAGUUGUUAAGAUAUUUAGGUUUAUAAAAUUCUACUAACUUAACAUAUGAUGAUAAUAAUGAAUUGCAAAAUAUAAUAAUCGUGGAUACCAGCAAGAACAUCAUCAGUCUGCCCAGUUAUAACUGUCAUCGCAUGUCAUCGAAAAAAUUUGCUUUUGAAUUUAAAUUGUUAAGUUAUCUACUUAGUUAUGAUAUAAAUAGUAAUAAAUUAAACUCAGGUCUUAAAUAUAUUGAGUGUAAGGUCAGGGAAUUACACGUGUUUCGCUUGUACUGGGCAUCACCAGAUCUUCUUUAGAGAAACAGAAAUAGUUUUACGAACACAUAUCAUUGAACCUAAUUUACGCUACAAAUAACAAACUUAUAACUAAUUUCAUACCUUUAAUAUUCACUAAGAAAAAGAAAAACAGAAAAACAACACUACAGGUUACAAGUCCAGGGUAAAAAAUUAAAAGAUAAUAGAACAAAGACGAGUUAUCACAUGUUAAAAAUAUAAACACAAUAAGUCAUUCAUAAUAAAACAAAAGUUGCAUUCACUUUAGGAAAAGUCACAUUUAAAUAUUCGUUGAUAGUGAGUUAGAUUGAGGAUACAGUGUUUAUCGGGAUAAACUUAAUGGAAACCAAGGGCUUCGAGUUAAGUUUUAGGCAGAAAAACCUGAGGGCAGAUGAUGAGGAAGUUUUUUCGUAUCGUGAAAGGGAUUACAGUAUUCAGGUCCUACUUCCAGAAGAAGCUUUGUUACCAGAUCAAAGCAAAAUUGUUGAAAAGCCCUGCGUUGCUACCAAAACUACGAACGGUGAAUAGUCAUAUUCGAAUCUGCAAUGCAUGACAAGGCUUGUUCGCGAUCAAAAGGGUAUUCUUGGGAAGUUUCAGCAAUAUAUGGAUAAUUUGCGGCUGUGGACGUCAAUCAGGCAGACAUUCCGAAAGAAUUUGAAGAGCUGAUAUUGUACUCAGCUUCUUGGGACUAUGCACUUACUACCUAUGCUAUUGAGAAAUUUAUCAACAUCACAAAACCAUUACUUAAAGAGGCUCUAACAAGCGCACCUAUCCUGAAAGAGUUCGUCUCUACCUGAAAGAAAAUUUAUACUGGACACUGACGUUAGCAAUAUGGUUAGACGCUGCUCAAACCAGCAACUAUUGCUGUUGUCAAAGCGAAGGAGCACUUCUACAAGUGCCUUUAUUGGAGAAAGUUCCUGCUGCGACCUGACCAUACAGCUUUAAAACGGCUCCUUCAGUUUAAACACCUAGAGAGUCAAGUGGCAAGAUGAACAGAGAGGCUACAGGAGUUUGACAAUGAACACCGAUGAGAAGAAUCCAUGAAAAUACAGAUGCUCUAUCACGAAGACCCUGUGCAGAGGACUUCAAACAUUGUCGAAUUGUGAGCAAAGGAGACCAAAAAUCAGUUGUUAAUAACCAGUGUCGCCGAUAAUACCUGGUAAAAUGGGGAUCUUAUAAGAGACCAGGAGGAAGAUCCCGAUAUUUAGAUAGUGCUAACGUGGGUAAAGGAAGGAAGAAACUUAAGAAGAAGUUGAUAAGUGUUUUCCCAAUGCCAAGUCAAAUUGGGCACACUGAAACUCUAUAAUUUUGGAAGAUAGAGUGUUGCGGCGAAAAAUAGUAAAAAGUAGACCACGACUGCAUAGAGGAAAGAUGACAAAUUAUUACGCCUCAAUGACAGAUUCCGGAGUUGCUAGAGAAAAUCCAUGUUGGUGUGUGAGGACAUCUUGAAGUAACAAAGGCCCUGGGAGAAGUUAAGGAAAGAUUUAACUGGGUUAAUAGCAAGGCAGGAAAUGCGUUAUAUGUGCAGCAAGUAAUGGGACGCAGAAAAAGGAGAAGGCUUUUAUAUGUCAGUACAACGUAAGAAGUCUUUUUAAAAGAAUUACUAUUGAUGUUGCUGGUCUUUUUCCCGAAUCAGAGCAGAAAAUUAGUUUAAUCGAUUACACCAGGGUCGUAAUACACUAUUUGAGCAAAUGGGUUAUGGCACAUCCUCUACCAUACCAAGGAGACUCUACUGUCGCCGACGCCCUAAUAAAAGAAUGGAUCUGUCGAUGUGGUGUUGGUUUGGCGUUACAUUCAAAACAAGAACGAAAUUUUGAAUCCAGCUUGAUCCAGAACAUCUGUAAGACGCUUUGAAUGAAGAAAACAAGAACUACUGCAUUACACCCGCAGUCAGCAUGGUUAAACGAAUUAAUAAGUACCAAUUGGUAUCUGACCAAAGUAGGCUCUAGCUAUUAAAAGAACUAGGAUAGAUUUAUUCAUUUCUUUCUGCUGGUUUAUCGAUUGUCCAUACAUGAAAAUACAGGCGAAUGUCCGGCUUCAAUAAUGAUGGGAAGAGAAAUCCAUCUCCCAUGCGAUGUGAAGUUUGUCAUGAUAUUGUCAGAGGAGCUACGUCAGUGAGCUGCGUAGAAGAAUGAAUGUCAUUCAUAAUCAACUGCGCAUUUCUGUUCAAGAUGCCAGUGAUCGGAUGAAGGACGUAUAUGAUGACAAUAUCAAAGAUCAGAGGAGAAUAAAACCACGGUGACUUACAUAGUUUGCCUAUAUAACUCUAAGAGGCGGAAAAGUCUGUCACCGAAACUUCAAUACUUCGAUUACAAAAGCCGCCGAGGGGUAAAGCUCAAGUCAUUUACUUUAACCGACUGGUCCCUUAUUAUGGAAACUAUGAAGAAGCUGUGCUGCAAGAAAUCCAACGAAAGUCUGAUUUAACAUUUGAUAAAUUCAUGGUUUAUCAUUUUAAUGGCCGAAUGAGUUGAUAAGGCGUCAUUUGUUAAUUGCAGUAAGAUCUGUUUACUACUUCACCUGAGUAUGCUCUGGCACAUUGUCUAGCUAAGGAUUUACAAAUGUUUGUAGAAAUAGCUUCAGUUUUCCGUAGAAAGUUUGGAAAAAAAUUAAGCCGUCAGAGUUAAUCCAGAGUCGUCAAGCACUUAAGAUAAUCGAGGACGAGACUGGUAGAAAGAUCUUCAUCAUAGCCAAUAGGCCGGCAAUACCAAACAGGCUUUUUGUUCUCUAAAGAAGGAGUUGCAUGCCGAGAAUUUGAGCAGCUUAGUAAUUGCCAAACUCACGUGCGAACUUGAUAAUCUCGACUAAAGGAAGAUUUGCAGCAUGUUAGAAGUAGUCUUUAAGUCUACAGGCAUACAAGUUCUAUGGGAAUUUUAGUUUCUUCAACCUCGUUCUCUGAAGAAAACCGUUGGUUAUUAUUUCUACAAGAGGUCCAGUUGCAAGAGGGGAACCUUCUGCCGAUAUCGACAUCCACCAUUCCUGAAAUUAUUUCAGGGCCAAAUGAGCUGUAGCAGCCGAUUAUACAGGGUGUUACAAAAUUCGGUGCAAAUAUUUUAAGAGCAUAUUGCUAGAGUAAAAAUAAGAUUAUUUUACAACUUUUUUUCCUAUAAACAUGUGUUCCAAAAUGCACCCCCUUAAAACUACAGCUCUCGCA
rnacentral:lncRNA from 1 species